GUGAGCAUGGAUUCAUUCUGCCUACGGUUCAGCAUUAUUUUGGCUUAGUUUGUCAUGAGCCCUGUUUAUGGCUUGCUGCAUGGUUUACUGCCUUGUUUGCAUACUGCAUAAUGGCUUAUAUGAGUCCUGACUUAGGUGAUUUGUUUUGGCUCAUGAAUUGCUUGUGUGGUUGCUGCAAUGUUGUUGUAGGGUGAGGUGUACUCAUAUCCAUAUGCAAUUUUGAAUUGGAUAUGGUUCAUGGCAUCCAUUCUGAUUGUGAUCUUGGCUUAAGCAGCAUGGAAUCAUGGUUCAUUAGCUUGUGUAUUACAACAUGAUGAAAGAUGUGCAUUGCUUGUUCCUGACUGAUGUAGCAGAUUUGCAUUUCUUAUUCUGCUGUAGGUCAUGUGCACAUGGAGUGUGGUUGGACAAGGCAACAAGACAUCAAAAUUUGAAUUUGAAUUAUCAUGUGCAAAAGGCAAACUCCAAGAUCAAAGAUCAAAAAUUCAAGAUUAGGAAUGUAAUUAGGAUAUGGAUUUAUAUUUUUAGGACCCUUAGGGAAAAAGGGGUUGAGUUGACUUUGGUCAAAGUUGACCAAAAAGUCAAUUGUUGACCAAAGUCAACCCUUAGUCAAAGUUUUAAAAAUGAGUAUUUUCAUGUAACGACUAAUGUGAUGGAUUGUAAUGACCUAAAGUGGAUUGAAAUUGAUUUCAAAUUAGUUUGA